AUUUGAUUAGAGUUGUUUCGUAAUGCUAGUCGAUUAGAAAUACAAAACAUGAAGUACGGUUGUAUAAAUAUAUUAAGAUCAAGUUUUAUUGUACGAGAUGAAUAUUUUUUGAAAAUAAGUAUAAAAAGACGAGCUUCUACUGGUAUCUGUUCAUUAAAGUUUCCAGGAUGAUAAUCUUAAUAUAACUACGAAAAAUAAAAUAGAGUUACAUUGGAAGAAUAAGGUGAAUCUAAAUUUAUACGAUGAAAAUGAUAAUACAAAGGAUAAGUUUUAUGUCCUUUCUAUGUUUCCUUAUCCUUCUGGAAAACUUCAUAUGGGUCAUGUUAGAGUUUACACAAUCAGUGAUGUUAUAGCACGUUUCUAUAGGAUGAGAGGUAAAAAUGUGAUUCAUCCAAUGGGAUGGGAUGCAUUUGGUCUACCUGCUGAAAAUGCUGCUAUUGAACAACAAAUUGAUCCUAGUAAAUGGACAAUAACUAAUAUAAAUGUAAUGCGCAAACAAUUAAAUGCUCUUAAUUUUUCAUUUGAUUGGAACAGGGAAAUUUCAACUUGUGAUCCUGAAUAUUAUAGAUGGACUCAAGAAUUAUUUUUAAAACUCUUUGAAAAAAAUCUAAUUUACAGAAAAGAAGAAUAUGUUAAUUGGGAUCCAAUUGAUAAGACAGUAUUAGCUGAAGAACAGGUUGAUGUAAAUAAUAUUUCUUGGAGAUCUGGAGCUAAAGUAGAAAAAAGAUUAUUAAAUCAGUGGUUUAUUAGAACUACAGCUUUGGCUAAAUCAUUAUUGGAUGGAUUAAAUGAUACAACAUUGAAAGAGUGGAGAGAUAUUAUAAAGAUUCAAAAAAAUUGGAUCGGUGAUUGUAAUGGUGUAAGUUUUGAUUUUAAGUUAGUUUCUGAUAUCUCAGAAUUGCCAAAAACUAUAAAUCUAUGGACUGAUAAGCCAGAAUUUGUCAAAUUUGCAAAGUUUGUUGUUAUUUCUCCUAGUAAUAUAUUAAAUCAACAACAAUAUACUGAAAGUGUUAAUGCAAAAACUAAAAAGCUGAAAGCCACUGUAAUAAAUCCUUUUACGGAACAAGAAUUACCUAUAUUUAUAUCUGAAGAAUUGGUUUUUCCACUGAAUAGAGAUAAUUAUCUGGGUAUUCCCUCUGCUUCCAUUGAAGAUUAUAAAUUUGCAGAAUCCGUGGAAAUUCCAUUCCAACGGCAUAAUAUACGUUCUCAUGAAGAAUUGCAAUAUGAACUUAAUGAAAUAUUAGUUAAAGCAAAAAAAUGGAAUAUUGGUGGAUAUGCAGUAAGUUCUAAAUUGAAAGAUUGGCUGAUUUCUAGACAAAGAUAUUGGGGUACUCCUAUUCCAAUUAUACAUUGUAAAAAUUGUGGUAUUCAACCUGUACCACGUAAUCAAUUACCUGUUGUGUUACCAAACAUUAAUUUUAAUUUAGCAAUAAAAAAUCAUUUUACUUUACUCAAUGCCAAAGAAUGGUUACAAACUGUGUGUCCUAAGUGUGGUAAUCAUGCAAUCAGAGAAGCUGAUACAAUGGAUACAUUUGUAGAUAGUUGUUGGUACUUUUUAAGAUAUAUUGAUCCAAAAAAUCAAGAAGAAAUGUUUUCUGUAGAAAAGGUCAAAAAAAAUUUACCUGUUGAUUUAUAUAUAGGUGGAAAGGAACAUGCUACACUCCAUUUAUAUUACGCUCGAUUUAUAAAUCAUUUUUUAUAUGAGGAGGGUCUUGUUCCAACUCGUGAACCAUUUAAGCAACUCCUUGUACAGGGUAUGGUAAUGGGAAAAACUUACCAAAUAUCUAAUACUGGACAGUACAUAAAAGAAAGUGAUGUAAUUAAAGAUGAGAAGGAUAACAAAUAUUAUGAAAAAAAUACUGGAAGACCUAUAACAGUUACUUGGGAAAAAAUGUCUAAAUCAAAAUAUAAUGGAGUUGAUCCUCUUGAACUUCUGGAACAUUAUGGUGUGGAUACAACUAGAUUAGUAAUACUAGCAGAUGUAGCUCCAACUUCUCACAGAAAUUGGUCUGUUGACACAAUUCGUGGUAUACAAAAUUGGCAAAAUCGUAUAUGGAUGACUUUGAAAGAAUUUAUUGGAAUGAGGGAACAUAUAUCAUUAGAAAAACUUCAAACAGCAGCUACUGAUUCUAAAUAUAUUAAGGAUAAUGAAUUCAUGUUUGAUAGCAGAAAUUAUUUUUUAAAAAUGGUAACCUUUAAUAUCAUAACAUCGCAACAGAUAAGUGUUGCAAUAUCUAGGAUGCAAGGACUUACAAAUAGUUUACGAAAAGUAUGUAAUGAAUGUAAAUUAAAAAGUCGUGAAUAUGAACGGGCAUUGGCUACACAAAUAAUUAUGCUUGCACCAAUAGCUCCACACUUUGCUUCAGAAUUAUGGACUGCAUUUUGUUCUAUACCGAAUCAUCUUCUAAACAAAGAGGAAGUAUUAUUAGAUAAAGAUGUAUUGGAGCAAAAAUGGCCUGAAAUAGAUAUGAAUUAUAAGAUGAUAAUGAAUGUUUAUGUCAAUAAACAGUUGCUCACGGAAAUAAAAGUUCCCCGUUAUAUCUUAGAUAAAUUAACUGCGCAGGAGGCAUCAGAAUUAAUAAUGGCUAAACCCUUUUAUGAAAAACUUUUGAGAAAGCAUAGAAUCACAGAUGUUAAGCUUCUUUCGCAAAUAGCCUGUGAUGCAAAUUUGUAUAUUAGUACAACUAAAAUAUUAGAAGAAGUUUCAUCUUAAGUGAAGUUAGUAUAAUUCUACAAGACUCAUUAUAAUACAACAAAAAUAACAAAAGAUCAAGUAGUCGACAAGGUAGGAAUUUACUACUAUCAACCUAUUCGCCGGUAAAAUGGGAAUUUACUUUCUCCGACUAGUAAUAUGCGGAAGAGAAGAUCCCACUAUUAUCAAUUAUUCGUUCGGUAAAGUUGGACUUUAUUAUUACCAACUAAGUUGUCAGAAAACAAUGUAAAAAUGCAUUUAUGCACAUUGAGGAAUGAUUGUUGGUAAUGUGGGAAUUUCCCGUGUGCUUAUAUCAACUAAAAAAUUCCUUUAUAUACUUUCCCUUUCUCUCUAUCAGAUUGCUAUUCAGUGCUACUUCGUA